AAAUUCUUAAUGAAACAACCCCCCCCCCCCCCCCCCCCCCCCCCCCCCCCCUCCGCCGCCCGCCCAAAAAAAACCAAUAAUUUCUUGAAGACACUGAUAAAGUAGCCCAAACUAAGAAUAAAUAUUACAGCACAGCACAAUAUUCCAAGAGAAUAAAUUAUCAAUAGCCCAAAUCUUAGCCCAAAUUAACAAAACAACCUAAUAAACUUGCCAAGAAACUACCAACAGAAUACAACUCACCACACAAAUUGAUGAAAAGAACACGCGACACAAGUCCACCAAGAAAUCGUGAUUCACAAGUAAUCGUCGACUCCACCCAUAAUGGUUGAACUGUAUAUAACACAAUCAGAAGAAGCAGCCCAAAAUGGAUUAACUUUGAUACUGAAUUCAGCAUAGUAAUAUAACUCUAACAACCAAUUCCCCCAGCCGCAGCCGCGCGUAUUUAAUGUGUCUCUCAAAUCCGAGGCAGCCUCCAAUGUUUGACUUUUCUUGCUACCUGAAUUUCCAUGUAUGUAUAUAGAUAAUAAAGGCGGCUGGCAACUCAAUUUUCUCUGUAGGCGUGUACGUGUAUCUUAUUUAACUCAAAGAUGGGUAAUUGGCAC
rnacentral:lncRNA from 1 species